AUCCAUCAAAAGCAGAGAGGCUCUGCAGAGAGACCUCAGCAAAUCAGAGGAUUGGGCAAUCACCAACCAUAUGAACUUCAACAACAGAAAAUGCUGGAUUCUGUUUCUGGAAUGGGGUAACCCUGGAGUCCUUACAUCCAGUUGUUUGUCCUAAGAGUGCAAGUGUCCAACAUCACUGCUGUCUUGGAAGACACUUUGACAUGCUGUUCUGAGUGUUGUCUUCUCAGUAUCACAGACCACUGAAAGAAGAAAUUCAGAUCAUUUUUGGUGGCUACAGAACAAGAUAUACAAUUUUUCUGUAUGCACAGAAAUGGAAGAAAGAGAGACAGAUGGGGACAAAGAACAUCAUUCUUAUACCAGGGUGGUUCAUCAAUGGAAACAGAAAUGGAAACAAUAUUUGUGUGUCACCCAGAGGACUAGACCACGGAGAGACUGUCACAGCUGCCUUGUGGGCAGCUACUGGCUCCACAGACACCAUUUACUCUGCAUGCACCUACAUGCUGUUGUGGCUUCCAUGCCACCAGGGAUCUCAAAGCCUCUGACUACCACUCCUGCUACUGCCUCACUCCUUAAGUGAAACUAUCUAUACCAACUAUUAGUGAGGUUUUCUUUAAAAAGAAACAACCUGUAUUCACAAUCAAGGCAAGAAAGAAGACAUCCUUGCCAGUUACAGUAAAGGUCAUCUAGAGCCAUGUAUCAUUAGUCUUAGUUCUGUAAAUUAAGCACAGCAGAGGAAGUAUUACUGGGAUACAUGAAACACAGCAUCUCCUGAUAACUAUCUCCCCAUCCAUCCAACACUACAUGACCCCCAAAGGGCAAAGCUCCCAUUUGCACUUGAGUAGUUCUUGCAAAAUUGGUACUCAGAGGGCUGGAACUACAUUAAGUCCAGGACCAUGUUAAAUUUCUAAUAAUUUAACUGUGUAGGAAACCAUACAGCAGAUCUGGGUGACAUCUGCUGCCAGUAUUCACUAGAACAGAGAACAAGCACCACUAGUUUAUUUCCAUACUUAUUUUUCUUCUAGAAAACUCUCCAAAUUCCUUAAUUUUCUAAAAAAGUUAAUUUGUGGACAUGUCUCAGCUUUCCAUGCUGAAAUCCCAUGACAGGCAUAACAUUUCUC